rnacentral:snoRNA from 1 species
AAGACUAUACUUUCAGGGAUCAUUUCUAUAGUUCGUUACUAGAAGGAAAAAUUAGGACAAAGAUGGGGGGGGUACAUGCUGGGUGGGCAGCA